GCUUAACACAUGCAAGUCGAACGGAAAGGCCCUGCUUUUGUGGGGUGCUCGAGUGGCGAACGGGUGAGUAACACGUGAGUAACCUGCCCUUGACUUUGGGAUAACUUCAAGAAACUGGGGCUAAUACCGGAUAGGAGCUCCUGCUGCAUGGUGGGGGUUGGAAAGUUUCGGCGGUUGGGGAUGGACUCGCGGCUUAUCAGCUUGUUGGUGGGGUAGUGGCUUACCAAGGCUUUGACGGGUAGCCGGCCUGAGAGGGUGACCGGCCACAUUGGGACUGAGAUACGGCCCAGACUCCUACGGGAGGCAGCAGUGGGGAAUAUUGCACAAUGGGCGGAAGCCUGAUGCAGCAACGCCGCGUGCGGGAUGACGGCCUUCGGGUUGUAAACCGCUUUCGCCUGUGACGAAGCGUGAGUGACGGUAAUGGGUAAAGAAGCACCGGCUAACUACGUGCCAGCAGCCGCGGUGAUACGUAGGGUGCGAGCGUUGUCCGGAUUUAUUGGGCGUAAAGGGCUCGUAGGUGGUUGAUCGCGUCGGAAGUGUAAUCUUGGGGCUUAACCCUGAGCGUGCUUUCGAUACGGGUUGACUUGAGGAAGGUAGGGGAGAAUGGAAUUCCUGGUGGAGCGGUGGAAUGCGCAGAUAUCAGGAGGAACACCAGUGGCGAAGGCGGUUCUCUGGGCCUUUCCUGACGCUGAGGAGCGAAAGCGUGGGGAGCGAACAGGCUUAGAUACCCUGGUAGUCCACGCUGUAAACGGUGGGUACUAGGUGUGGGGUCCAUUCCACGGGUUCCGUGCCGUAGCUAACGCUUUAAGUACCCCGCCUGGGGAGUACGGCCGCAAGGCUAAAACUCAAAGGAAUUGACGGGGCCCCGCACAAGCGGCGGAGCAUGCGGAUUAAUUCGAUGCAACGCGUAGAACCUUACCUGGGUUUGACAUGGAUCGGGAGUGCUCAGAGAUGGGUGUGCCUCUUUUGGGGUCGGUUCACAGGUGGUGCAUGGCUGUCGUCAGCUCGUGUCGUGAGAUGUUGGGUUAAGUCCCGCAACGAGCGCAACCCUUGUUCACUGUUGCCAGCACGUUAUGGUGGGGACUCAGUGGAGACCGCCGGGGUCAACUCGGAGGAAGGUGGGGAUGACGUCAAGUCAUCAUGCCCCUUAUGUCCAGGGCUUCACGCAUGCUACAAUGGCUGGUACAGAGAGUGGCGAGCCUGUGAGGGUGAGCGAAUCUCGGAAAGCCGGUCUCAGUUCGGAUUGGGGUCUGCAACUCGACCUCAUGAAGUCGGAGUCGCUAGUAAUCGCAGAUCAGCAACGCUGCGGUGAAUACGUUCCCGGGGCUUGUACACACCGCCCGUCAAGUCAUGAAAGUUGGUAACACCCGAAGCCGGUGGCCUAACCGUUGUGGGGGAGCCGUCGAAGGUGGGACUGGUGAUUAGGACUAAGUCG
rnacentral:rRNA from 1 species